rnacentral:rRNA from 1 species
GGCGGCAGGCCUAACACAUGCAAGUCGAGCGGCAGCGGGGGGAAGCUUGCUUCCCCGCCGGCGAGCGGCGGACGGGUGAGUAAUGUCUGGGGAUCUGCCUGAUGGAGGGGGAUAACUACUGGAAACGGUAGCUAAUACCGCAUAACGUCGCAAGACCAAAGUGGGGGACCUUCGGGCCUCACGCCAUCGGAUGAACCCAGAUGGGAUUAGCUAGUAGGUGAGGUAACGGCUCACCUAGGCGACGAUCCCUAGCUGGUCUGAGAGGAUGACCAGCCACACUGGAACUGAGACACGGUCCAGACUCCUACGGGAGGCAGCAGUGGGGAAUAUUGCACAAUGGGGGAAACCCUGAUGCAGCCAUGCCGCGUGUGUGAAGAAGGCCUUCGGGUUGUAAAGCACUUUCAGCGGGGAGGAAGGGGACAAGGUUAAUAACCUUGUUCAUUGACGUUACCCGCAGAAGAAGCACCGGCUAACUCCGUGCCAGCAGCCGCGGUAAUACGGAGGGUGCAAGCGUUAAUCGGAAUGACUGGGCGUAAAGCGCACGCAGGCGGUCUGUUAAGUUGGAUGUGAAAUCCCCGGGCUUAACCUGGGAACUGCAUUCAAAACUGACAGGCUAGAGUCUCGUAGAGGGGGGUAGAAUUCCAGGUGUAGCGGUGAAAUGCGUAGAGAUCUGGAGGAAUACCGGUGGCGAAGGCGGCCCCCUGGACGAAGACUGACGCUCAGGUGCGAAAGCGUGGGGAGCAAACAGGAUUAGAUACCCUGGUAGUCCACGCUGUAAACGAUGUCGAUUUGGAGGUUGUGCCCUUGAGGCGUGGCUUCCGGAGCUAACGCGUUAAAUCGACCGCCUGGGGAGUACGGCCGCAAGGUUAAAACUCAAAUGAAUUGACGGGGGCCCGCACAAGCGGUGGAGCAUGUGGUUUAAUUCGAUGCAACGCGAAGAACCUUACCUACUCUUGACAUCCAGCGAACCCUGUAGAGAUGCGGGGGUGCCUUCGGGAACGCUGAGACAGGUGCUGCAUGGCUGUCGUCAGCUCGUGUUGUGAAAUGUUGGGUUAAGUCCCGCAACGAGCGCAACCCUUAUCCUCUGUUGCCAGCACUUCGGGUGGGAACUCAGGGGAGACUGCCGGUGAUAAACCGGAGGAAGGUGGGGAUGACGUCAAGUCAUCAUGGCCCUUACGAGUAGGGCUACACACGUGCUACAAUGGCGCAUACAAAGAGAAGCGACCUCGCGAGAGCAAGCGGACCUCAUAAAGUGCGUCGUAGUCCGGAUUGGAGUCUGCAACUCGACUCCAUGAAGUCGGAAUCGCUAGUAAUCGUAGAUCAGAAUGCUACGGUGAAUACGUUCCCGGGCCUUGUACCCACCGCCCGUCACACCAUGGGAGUGGGUUGCAAAAGAAGUAGGUAGCUUAACC